GAGGCUCCAGGUUGAUCCAGCUUUUUACCUUUUCGUCCUUUGUUCGUAGAGAGUUGCCAUUUGGAGAUUUAAGAAAUUCUCCCACCGUGCAGGGAGCUGAAUGAAAGCAAAAGUGAUGUGGGCGGUUCAGACUAUGCAAUACCAGAGGAAGGAAGGGCAGCAUGGGCCUAAAGUACAGAGGUACCUGAAGCAUCAGAAAAGUGGAGACUGAAAAGAAGAGUGAAGCAACUCCAGUUAUAUAACAGCUAUUGGCAUGUGACGCUGUAAACAAGAAGCGGGCAGUAUUAUCUCCUGUAAAUGUAAACAAACUUGUUUGUCUUAGCAAUUGGUUGACUAAAAAGUAGGACUGAGUGGACUUGUAGGCUCUAAUGUUUUAGAUGGUUUUGUUUUUGAGUGCAGUUAUAUAACAAAAAAAUCUACAUUUGUAAGUUGCACUUUCACGAUAAAGAGCUUGUAUUAUGGUAUUUGUAUGAGGUGAAUUGAAAAAUACUGUUUUAUCAUUUUUACAAUGCAAAUAUUUGCCAUACAAAUAUAAUACAACACUUGUACUCACUGUUAUAACUGAAAUAAAUAUAUUUGAAAAUGUAGAAAAACAUCCAAAAAUAUUUAA